UACGUAGGGGGCAAGCGUUGUCCGGAUUUAUUGGGCGUAAAGAGCGUGUAGGCGGCCAUACAGGUCAGCUGUGAAAACUCGAGGCUCAACCUCGAGACGUCGGUUGAAACCGUAUGGCUAGAGUCCGGAAGAGGAGAGUGGAAUUCCCGGUGUAGCGGUGAAAUGCGCAGAUAUCGGGAAGAGCACCUAUGGCGAAGGCAGCUCUCUGGGACGGUACUGACGCUGAGACGCGAAAGCGUGGGGAGCAAACAGG
rnacentral:rRNA from 1 species